rnacentral:lncRNA from 1 species
UGCCGUGUCCCAGGCCGAGUUUGGAAAACCCAAAUUCCUCCGAGUCCUCUGGAGCUCGAAUCUUUAGAGCCACGGAGACCUGGACCUUUCUCUAACCCAGGUUUAGUAACAAACAUUGAAGCCUGAUAAUUUUUUUUCUUUAAUUCAAAUACAACUGACUACCAUGAGCGUUCUACAGCAUGGUGUAAAUUAAAGUUCAGAUAUAUACACAUGUCAGAGACUUGGCCUGAGAACCAAAGAUCACUCUAAGUGCCUUAGUGAGGAUGAACGAUGCUCAACAGUGGUUGUAGGAGAAGAAAAAUAGGAAAGAAAGGACAAAGAUCUUCCAAACAGUCUUCAAAGACAACCCUAAGGACCUCACAGAAACUGUUUUCUGGAGUUUUAUGUAAUAGUUCACUUCAAAAUGACUGACGUUUUUCCGUGCUAAGAGACCUCAGAGUCCUCGGCUGGAGAAGGGGGUGGGGGUGGGGGUACCGCGGGGCCUUCUGUGCCAGGAGGACCCACUUGCUCCAGAUCCGAAUCAGAGAGCAUCUCCUGGGCUUCAUCACCUUUCUUGGUAAACAUCUCUUCUCUGGGAGGAAAGGCACAUUGAAUGUUAUUCAAAGAGAGAGGGGAUUCAAAAAAAGAAGAAGAAAAAGAAACUCUCCAGACCCCAGCACCUAAAGAGAACCGCUUAACAUUUGGGAGGACAUCCUUCCUAACUCAUCUACCCAUGCCUAGAGAGCUGUCACCUGGCGAAAAUGAGAUGCGCUCUAUUUACACUUAGUUGUAAGUCAGCUCUUCUCAGAGGUCCCACUGUCUCCACUGGUCCCAUGGGACCCCUGGAGCUGGGGUCCACCCCGCCAGCCAGCUCUCCAUAGUUUCAGCCUAGGGCAGGCUCUCUCUUAAAGUUUCAUUUGCAAUCCAGUGGUUCUCUGGCCUUAGCCUCACUUCAUCUCUCCUUCUGACUAGUUUACCCCCUGCCCCGGCCUGCCGGGUUCUCCUCCCCUUCUGCUGGGGUGUCCCAGGGAGUUCCCAUCCUGUUUGGGGCUGGGCAAACCCUGCCUUCAAGGAG